UUAAAUUGAAGAGUUUGAUCAUGGCUCAGAUUGAACGCUGGCGGCAGGCCUAACACAUGCAAGUCGAACGGUAACAGGAAGCAGCUUGCUGCUUUGCUGACGAGUGGCGGACGGGUGAGUAAUGUCUGGGAAACUGCCUGAUGGAGGGGGAUAACUACUGGAAACGGUGGCUAAUACCGCAUAACGUCGCAAGACCAAAGAGGG
rnacentral:rRNA from 2 species